rnacentral:rRNA from 1 species
AUUGAACGCUGGCGGCAUGCUUUACACAUGCAAGUCGAACGAGUGGCGGACGGGUGAGUAAUAUCUCGGAACGUGCCCAAUAGCGGGGGAUAACUACUGGAAACGGUGGCUAAUACCGCAUACUAUUGGAUCUGCCGAUAUGGGAUUAGCUAGUUGGUGGGGUAACGGCUCACCAAGGCGACGAUCCCUAGCUGGUCUGAGAGGAUGACCAGCAACACUGGAACUGAGACACGGCCCAGACUCCUACGGGAGGCAGCAGUGGGGAAUUUUGGACAAUGGGCGCAACCCUGAUGCAGCCAUGCCGCGUGUAUGAUGAAGGCCUUCGGGUUGUAAAGUACUUUCAGCGGGGAGGCGUUACCCGCAGAAGAAGCACCGGCUAACUCCGUGCCAGCAGCCGCGGUAAUAC